GAAUGCGGGAGAUAUGUCUAUGAAUAAUUGCUAAAGUUGUCAAAAUCAGAGAGCUUAAUAAGACCCUGUUAUCAGAAGAUAAAUUUGGGAAAAGAAGCACAAGGAUUUAAACUCACUCCCAUCAUAAGAUAGUAGGGUAGGGUACGGUAGGGUACGGUAGGGUAGGGUAGGGUAGGGUAGGGAAGGGUAGGGAAGGGUAAAGGGAAGGGAAGGGAAGGGAAGGGAAGGGAAGGGAAGGGAAGGGAUUUCCUGUCAUUUUUGUUGUUGGUGGUUUUGUUGCUGUUGGCUGUCCUGAAAAAAAAAAAAAAUCAGUAUUUUAUUUAUUUAUUUAUGUAUUUAUUAGUUACUUAAUGUACACUUUCAGAGAAGGAAAACCAGGCAGAGAUCAUCUUGGUGAAGCAUAUCAGGGGCAGGUGUACAUAUAUUAA
rnacentral:lncRNA from 1 species